UGGGGAAUUUUCCGCAAUGGGCGCAAGCCUGACGGAGCAAUACCGCGUGAGGGAGGAAGGCUUUUGGGUUGUAAACCUCUUUUCUCAAGGAAGAAGCACUGACGGUACUUGAGGAAUCAGCAUCGGCUAACUCCGUGCCAGCAGCCGCGGUAAUACGGAGGAUGCAAGCGUUAAUCGGAAUUACUGGGCGUAAAGCGCGCGUAGGCGGUUUGAUAAGUCGGAUGUGAAAGCCCUGGGCUCAACCUGGGAAUUGCAUUCGUUACUGUCUGACUAGAGUAUGGUAGAGGGAAGUGGAAUUUCCGGUGUAGCGGUGAAAUGCGUAGAUAUCGGAAGGAACACCAGUGGCGAAGGCGACUUCCUGGGCCAAUACUGACGCUGAUGUGCGAAAGCGUGGGGAGCAAACAGGAUUAGAUACCCCCGUAGUCC
rnacentral:rRNA from 1 species